UUGCCCAUCAAGGGAGGGAAUGUGUAAAUACUUUGGAUGACAGCUGCUGUCAAAACAGAAAAAGAAUGCCUCGAAAUUCAGUAUUCAGGUGACAACAUCCAAUUUUUCAUGAGCAGUUUGAUGAAAUAUAAGUAAUUCGGUGACGAUUCGUUGUCGAUUUUGUGAUCAGGUUGAUUGGUUCAAGUCUCGGUUGUCAAACGGGAUUUAGUACAUGGUGAUGUACAACUAUCCAAAAUGAAAGACAGACAAGGAUUGUAAGCAUUUGACAGUUAACAAAUGGAGUCAGCACCCCUUUCAAUGGUCUACAGAAGUGAAAAACAGCUUCCAAAAUUAAAUUUGGCCUUCCAGGAGUUCUAUGAGCAUGAGGAGUUCUGUGACAUCACCCUAGUAGCCACUACAAAGCGGUUCCGAGCCCACAGGGUGAUCCUAGCUGCCUUCAGUCCAUACUUCUAUCAAGCUUUCUCUCAACAGAACAGCUAUCUUUCUGAGUUUAGCUGCCAUCGCUUCGAUGAAGGCAGCCUAAAAUGUCUGUUAGAUUUCUGUUACUCAGGUGUGAUUACUGUCAACUCGGUGUCAGCAGAGAAGCUCCUGUCAGUUGCUACAGUCUUACAAAUCAAAGAAGUGGAGAAACUCUGCCAGACGUUUCUGAGAGCACAUCAGGCAUUUGUUCAUGAGAUUGGCACAGAUAUUCAGGAGAAGAAUUCUUCACCAUCUCCAAGGGGAAGGAGCUCUAGCGAGUUGUUUUUCGUCGAAAGCUCGGGUCGAUUCAGUCCUGGAACUAGCCCUAAUGUCUCCACAUCAGGCCGUCCUGUUUCAGAGACAAGCUCUGUGGAGAACCCAGACCUGGAUAUAGUGAAGCAAGAGCACCCUGAUCCAGGUGAAGGAGUAGAGAAAAUUUCAAAGGCCUUUAAUACAGAAUUUUAGUUAUUCAUUUGGAGUAAAUUUUUUAUACCCAUAUACCGGGUAUGUAUUUAAUUUUGAAGUUUACUGAAAAAUUCUUCAUUACAAUUUUCAGUAACUAGAGAGGAACAUAUGAGAGAGGAGCUUGUAUCACCUGGCACCCUAGCCAAGAGGAUGCAGUACCUACCUAACCCAGGCCUGAACAUCAUUGACAUGACACAGCUAUCUCCAACCUACCUAGGAACUCCAUACCCCAGGCCCCUGCUGUUCCCAAGACCCUCUCCUCAGCCUUUUCAUCUCUUUGCUCCAAAACUCAAAGAAAAGAACAAACUGGAAAGCAGCAAUGAAAUCAAUGAAAGCAGAACUGAUGAACAUCAUGGGCAGAGCUCUAACGUAUCUGUAGAGACCAAUUUCUCGCAGAAAUCCUCCGAAUCAGUUGGACUAGAACAGUCAAGUGUCCAAGAGCAUCAAUCUCCUGACGAGGUCGAAAACUCAAAGUUAUACAAUGCCUGCUCAAUAUGUCACCAGAAGUUCAACAGCAGCAAAGCCUUGAGCAUCCAUAUGGUACUUCAUGACAGAGGCCUCCAAUCUUAUAUACCAAAGCGUAACAGAAAAGCUAUUUUUCCGCAGAAACAUGAGCACACAGGUAGUGAAUAUGGGAGCACCCCCGGGGAACUCUUCACAUGUAGUACAUGUGGCAAAAGUUUCAAAGACAACCGGUCACUGAAAUUUCACCGCUACAACCAUGUUUUGCGGCAUGUCUGCCCUAUCUGUGGCAAGCGUUUCUCCCGGAGCUGGAAUCUACAGAGACACAAGAAAUCUCACUUCAAGGUGGGCAUGUCAGGAUGGCAGGUCACGUCUGAAAAUUCUGAGGACCUGGCCAGAUCAGAAGACGAGGACGGGGAAAAUCUGAGCAACUCCUUUAAUGAUGAUGAGGAUGUCCGCAUGUCUUCUGCACAAGCAGAGGAUGAACCGGUUGAUUUGACAGAACCGGGCAAAUCCGAGAGAGAACUAGGGCCUCCUUAAUUUUUACAAUUCAAACUGUUUAUGUGCAAUGGUUUGUUAUUCUAUUUUGUUGAACUUACCUUUGUUGAUCAACAUUGUGAUAGUUGUCGGACUGUAUUUACCUUAAUUGUCUAUAUAAUCUCAAGCUUCUAUUUUCAUACUCCAGGGCAUUGCGUCCCAAAGAUUUAUUACUGGUACAUAGAACUGUAUACUCCUGUCCCCUAUAUGGCUGGUUCCAUACUAGUAUGCUGUAUUAUACAUAUAAGGUCAUUUUAUUUGUUGCAGACCAAGCUUUUAUAAAUCCCUCAGAAUUGUUUUUCAUCAUGUUAUAGUAAUGGUUGAAAGGACAUGGAUUAAAUAUGAUUUUCACUCAAUAUUUUAAGAAAAUAAGUUUUUUCUUAAAAAAUAUUUAACACUAGAGUCUUUGUUCAUAAUUUAAACAACUGACUAAAUUUCUGGCCUUGUACUAUAUCUAAUGUUGAAUAUUUAAAUUAUAUGCACAAGUUUAUUACUGUGGGGCUGAUUAUGUGAUCACUGAUUAACAAAGUUUUAACUAUUUUCAAAUUGUGCACAUGUAAAUGUGUGCUGAAAUGCUGGCAUUUUGUGACUCCUGUAUAGAUUAAUUAUACUUUGUAUAUAUAUGUGUCAUUAAUGGCUCAUCCAAUGUGGUUGGCAAAUUUCUUGUUUUGUCGUACUUGAGAACAUAUGCAGUCUCUACUUAUGUAUCUUACUUUUGUUAAAUGGCAAAUAAGUUGAUCUGUUCACAAUGUAGCUCUGGUAAAAUUCUGUUUUACUCUAGACCCUCAUCCAUGUUGUCAGUGAUAUUUUCCUGUUAUACAUACAUGUAUAAAUAUAUAUAUCUGUACAAAAUGAAAAAAAAACAAACAACAUUGCAUAUAUUGUUGAAUGGAUAAUAUACACGAUUGUUGAGCGAUAUUUAUUCUAUUGUAGCCAUGUUAACAGUUUUCAUAUUCUAAGCAUUGUUAGCAGGUUUUAGUCUUUAUGUUGUUGACAUUGAUUGUUUUGCCAGGUUGAGACACUUAUGAUUUGUUAUGGGAAUAUAUAUUGUUAUCUUUAUCAAUAAAUUUAAUAUUAGUCAG
rnacentral:misc_RNA from 1 species